rnacentral:rRNA from 1 species
GAUGAACGCUGGCGGCGUGCCUAAUACAUGCAAGUCGAGCGAAUGGAUUAAGAGCUUGCUCUUAUGAAGUUAGCGGCGGACGGGUGAGUAACACGUGGGUAACCUGCCCAUAAGACUGGGAUAACUCCGGGAAACCGGGGCUACUACCGGAUAACAUUUUGAACCGCAUGGUUCGAAAUUGAAAGGCGGCUUCGGCUGUCACUUAUGGAUGGACCCGCGUCGCAUUAGCUAGUUGGUGAGGUAACGGCUCACCAAGGCAACGAUGCGUAGCCGACCUGAGAGGGUGAUCGGCCACACUGGGACUGAGACACGGCCCAGACUCCUACGGGAGGCAGCAGUAGGGAAUCUUCCGCAAUGGACGAAAGUCUGACGGAGCAACGCCGCGUGAGUGAUGAAGGCUUUCGGGUCGUAAAACUCUGUUGUUAGGGAAGAACAAGUGCUAGUUGGAUAAGCUGGCACCUUGACGGUACCUAACCAGAAAGCCACGGCUAACUACGUGCCAGCCGCCGCCGUAA